rnacentral:rRNA from 1 species
AUGAACGCUGGCGGCGUGCCUAAUACAUGCAAGUCGAGCGAACAGACGAGGAGCUUGCUCCUCUGACGUUAGCGGCGGACGGGUGAGUAACACGUGGAUAACCUACCUAUAAGACUGGGAUAACUUCGGGAAACCGGAGCUAAUACCGGAUAAUAUAUUGAACCGCAUGGUUCAAUAGUGAAAGACGGUUUUGCUGUCACUUAUAGAUGGAUCCGCGCCGCAUUAGCUAGUUGGUAAGGUAACGGCUUACCAAGGCGACGAUGCGUAGCCGACCUGAGAGGGUGAGCGGCCACACUGGAACUGAGACACGGUCCAGACUCCAACGGGAGGCAGCAGUAGGGAAUCUUGCGCAAUGGGCGAAAGCAUGACGGAGCAACGCCGCGUGAGUGAUGAAAGUCUUCGGAUCGUAAAACUCUGUUAUUAGGGAAGAACAAAUGUGUAAGUAACUAUGCACGUCUUGACGGUACCUAAUCAGAAAGCCACGGCUAACUACGUG